AAGUCGCAACAAGGUAACCGUAGGUGAACCUGCGGUUGGAUCAUUAGUGGUUUUUACGCAGCGCUGUUGUAGUGUAUGGUGGUAUGUUGGGUUUUGGUGUGGUGUGUGUUGUGUUGUUGGUUGUGCUGUGUUGCCUGGCCUUGGUCUUGGCACAGCAACGGACGACGAACACUCGGACCAGACCCAACAGACCUCGCCAGAUAGACGUCUUUGCUUGCUUUGAUGAAACCAAAUCAAAAACAACUUUUGACAACGGAUCUCUUGGCUCUC
rnacentral:misc_RNA from 1 species